GAUGAACGCUAGCUACAGGCUUAACACAUGCAAGUCGCGGGGCAGCAUGGGGGUUGCUUGCAAUCCCCGAUGGCGACCGGCGCACGGGUGAGUAACGCGUAUCCAACCUGCCCUUCACCACGGGAUAACCCGGCGAAAGUCGGACUAAUACCGUAUGUUGUCCAUUGACGGCAUCCGAUUUGGACGAAAGGCUUGGCGGUGAGGGAUGGGGAUGCGUCCGAUUAGCCAGACGGCGGGGUAACGGCCCACCGUGGCUACGAUCGGUAGGGGUUCUGAGAGGAAGGUCCCACACACUGGAACUGAGACACGGUCCAGACUCCUACGGGAGGCAGCAGUGAGGAAUAUUGGUCAAUGGGCGUAAGCCUGAACCAGCCAAGUAGCGUGCAGGAUGACGGCCCUAUGGGUUGUAAACUGCUUUUAUGCGGGGAUAAAGUGGCCCACGUGUGGGCUUUUGCAGGUACCGCAUGAAUAAGGACCGGCUAAUUCCGUG
rnacentral:rRNA from 1 species